rnacentral:rRNA from 1 species
AGUAGUUUGAUCCUGGCUCAGGACGAACGCUGGCGGCGUGCUUAACACAUGCAAGUCGAACGGAAAGGCCCUGCUUUUGUGGGGUGCUCGAGUGGCGAACGGGUGAGUAACACGUGAGUAACCUGCCCUUGACUUUGGGAUAACUUCAGGAAACUGGGGCUAAUACCGGAUAGGAGCUCCUGCUGCAUGGUGGGGGUUGGAAAGUUUCGGCGGUUGGGGAUGGACUCGCGGCUUAUCAGCUUGUUGGUGGGGUAGUGGCUUACCAAGGCUUUGACGGGUAGCCGGCCUGAGAGGGUGACCGGCCACAUUGGGACUGAGAUACGGCCCAGACUCCUACGGGAGGCAGCAGUGGGGAAUAUUGCACAAUGGGCGGAAGCCUGAUGCAGCAACGCCGCGUGUGGGAUGACGGCCUUCGGGUUGUAAACCGCUUUCGCCUGUGACGAAGCGUGAGUGACGGUAAUGGGUAAAGAAGCACCGGCUAACUACGUG